rnacentral:rRNA from 1 species
AACGAACGCUGGCGGCAUGCCUAACACAUGCAAGUCGAACGAGACCUUCGGGUCUAGUGGCGCACGGGUGCGUAACGCGUGGGAACCUGCCCUUAGGUUCGGAAUAACUCCCCGAAAGGGGUGCUAAUACCGGAUAAUGUCUUCGGACCAAAGAUUUAUCGCCUUUGGAUGGGCCCGCGUUGGAUUAGCUAGUUGGUAGGGUAAAAGCCUACCAAGGCGACGAUCCAUAGCUGGUCUGAGAGGAUGAUCAGCCACACUGGGACUGAGACACGGCCCAGACUCCUACGGGAGGCAGCAGUGGGGAAUAUUGGACAAUGGGCGAAAGCCUGAUCCAGCAAUGCCGCGUGAGUGACGAAGGCCUUAGGGUUGUAAAGCCCUUUUACCCGGGAUGAUAAUGACAGUACCGGGAGAAUAAGCUCCGGCUAACUCCGUG